rnacentral:rRNA from 1 species
AUUGAACGCUGGCGGCAGGCCUAACACAUGCAAGUCGAGCGAGCGGCGGACGGGUGAGUCAUGCCUGGGAAUUGCCCAGUCGAGGGGGAUAACAGUUUGCAACGACUGCUAAUACCGCAUACCCUUGGAUUUCCCAGGUGGGAUUAGAUAGUUGGUGAGGUAAUGGCUCACCACGGCGACGAUCCCUAGCUGGUCUGCGAGGAUGAUCAGCCACACUGGAACUGAUACACGGUCCAGACUCCUACGGGAGGCAGCAGUGGGGAAUAUUGCACAAUGGGGGAAACCCUGAUGCAGCCAUGCCGCGUGUGUGAAGAAGGCCUUCGGGUUGUAAAGAACUUUCAGCGAGGAGGCGUUACUCGCAGAAGAAGCACCGGCUAACUCCGUGCCAGCAGACGCGGUAAUAC